UACGUAGGGGGCAAGCGUUGUCCGGAUUUAUUGGGCGUAAAGGGUCCGCAGGUGGUCGUGCACGUCUCGUGUCAAAUAUCAGGGCUCAACCCUGACACCGCACGAGAUACGACAUGACUAGAGGCCGGGAGAGGUAAGCGGAAUUGCCGGUGUAGUAGUAAUAUGCGUUAAUAUCGGCAAGAACACCAAAUGCGAAGGCAGCUUACUGGACCGCGCCUGACACUCAGGGACGAAAGCGUGGGUAGCGAAAGGG
rnacentral:rRNA from 1 species